UUGAUCCUGGCUCAGGAUGAACGCUAGCUACAGGCUUAACACAUGCAAGUCGAGGGGCAGCAUGGUCUUAGCUUGCUAAGGCCGAUGGCGACCGGCGCACGGGUGAGUAACACGUAUCCAACCUGCCGUCUACUCUUGGACAGCCUUCUGAAAGGAAGAUUAAUACAAGAUGGCAUCAUGAGUCCGCAUGUUCACAUGAUUAAAGGUAUUCCGGUAGACGAUGGGGAUGCGUUCCAUUAGAUAGUAGGCGGGGUAACGGCCCACCUAGUCUUCGAUGGAUAGGGGUUCUGAGAGGAAGGUCCCCCACAUUGGAACUGAGACACGGUCCAAACUCCUACGGGAGGCAGCAGUGAGGAAUAUUGGUCAAUGGGCGAGAGCCUGAACCAGCCAAGUAGCGUGAAGGAUGACUGCCCUAUGGGUUGUAAACUUCUUUUAUAAAGGAAUAAAGUCGGGUAUGGAUACCCGUUUGCAUGUACUUUAUGAAUAAGGAUCGGCUAACUCCGUGCCAGCAGCCGCGGUAAUACGGAGGAUCCGAGCGUUAUCCGGAUUUAUUGGGUUUAAGGGGAGCGUAGAUGGAUGUUUAAGUCAGUUGUGAAAGUUUGCGGCUCAACCGUAAAAUUGCAGUUGAUACUGGAUAUCUUGAGUGCAGUUGAGGCAGGCGGAAUUCGUGGUGUAGCGGUGAAAUGCUUAGAUAUCACGAAGAACUCCGAUUGCGAAGGCAGCCUGCUAAGCUGCAACUGACAUUGAGGCUCGAAAGUGUGGGUAUCAAACAGGAUUAGAUACCCUGGUAGUCCACACGGUAAACGAUGAAUACUCGCUGUUUGCGAUAUACAGCAAGCGGCCAAGCGAAAGCGUUAAGUAUUCCACCUGGGGAGUACGCCGGCAACGGUGAAACUCAAAGGAAUUGACGGGGGCCCGCACAAGCGGAGGAACAUGUGGUUUAAUUCGAUGAUACGCGAGGAACCUUACCCGGGCUUAAAUUGCAGAUGAAUUACGGUGAAAGCCGUAAGCCGCAAGGCAUCUGUGAAGGUGCUGCAUGGUUGUCGUCAGCUCGUGCCGUGAGGUGUCGGCUUAAGUGCCAUAACGAGCGCAACCCUUGUUGUCAGUUACUAACAGGUUCCGCUGAGGACUCUGACAAGACUGCCAUCGUAAGAUGUGAGGAAGGUGGGGAUGACGUCAAAUCAGCACGGCCCUUACGUCCGGGGCUACACACGUGUUACAAUGGGGGGUACAGAGGGCCGCUACCACGCGAGUGGAUGCCAAUCCCCAAAACCUCUCUCAGUUCGGACUGGAGUCUGCAACCCGACUCCACGAAGCUGGAUUCGCUAGUAAUCGCGCAUCAGCCACGGCGCGGUGAAUACGUUCCCGGGCCU
rnacentral:rRNA from 1 species